rnacentral:rRNA from 1 species
AGUGAACGCUGGCGGUAGGCCUAACACAUGCAAGUCGAACGGCAGCACAGUAAGAGCUUGCUCUUACGGGUGGCGAGUGGCGGACGGGUGAGGAAUACAUCGGCAUCUACUUUUUCGUGGGGGAUAACGUAGGGAAACUUACGCUAAUACCGCAUACGACCUACGGGUGAAAGCAGGGGAUCUUCGGACCUUGCGCGAUUGAAUGAGCCGAUGUCGGAUUAGCUAGUUGGCGGGGUAAAGGCCCACCAAGGCGACGAUGCGUAGCUGGUCUGAGAGGAUGAUCAGCCACACUGGAACUGAGACACGGUCCAGACUCCUACGGGAGGCAGCAGUGGGGAAUAUUGGACAAUGGGCGCAAGCCUGAUCCAGCCAUACCGCGUGGGUGAAGAAGGCCUUCGGGUUGUAAAGCCCUUUUGUUGGGAAAGAAAAGCAGCAGGUUAAUACCCCGCUGUUCUGACGGUACCCAAAGAAUAAGCACCGGCUAACUUCGUG